rnacentral:rRNA from 1 species
AACGAACGCUGGCGGCAUGCCUAACACAUGCAAGUCGAACGAGACCUUCGGGUCUAGUGGCGCACGGGUGCGUAACGCGUGGGAAUCUGCCCUUGGGUUCGGAAUAACAGUUAGAAAUGACUGCUAAUACCGGAUGAUGUCGAAAGACCAAAGAUUUAUCGCCCAAGGAUGAGCCCGCGUAGGAUUAGGUAGUUGGUGGGGUAAAGGCCCACCAAGCCGACGAUCCUUAGCUGGUCUGAGAGGAUGAUCAGCCACACUGGGACUGAGACACGGCCCAGACUCCUACGGGAGGCAGCAGUGGGGAAUAUUGGACAAUGGGCGAAAGCCUGAUCCAGCAAUGCCGCGUGAGUGAUGAAGGCCUUAGGGUUGUAAAGCUCUUUUACCAGGGAUGAUAAUGACAGUACCUGGAGAAUAAGCUCCGGCUAACUCCGUGCCAGCCGCCGCCGUAACAC